rnacentral:lncRNA from 1 species
GAGGUUGCAAUGUGCCGAGAUCACGCCACUGCACUCCAGCCUAAGCAACAGAGCGAGACUUCAUCUCAAAUAAUAAUAAUAAUAAUAAUGAAUUAAAAAAUAAAUAAAUACAUAAAUAAGGGAGCUAGACAACCCUCCUCCCCUACAGAGCUCUGUGAAAAGUCCAGGACAUCUCAGCCGAGGGAAGGCCUGGCACCAAAACUGUGGAUCAGGGCACAUCCCAGCCUUCUGUAGGGCACCCAGAACACGAGGGGAGGACAGGCUCGACCUGGACUCCAGGACUCUUUCCAAAGACUGAGUGACACUUCAAGGACAGACAGGAGGACCACAUGAACCCACAAGGCCCAAACUCAGGCUCUGCCCCUGAACCCUGGACAGAGCAACUCGCAAACAGGACAGAGAACAGACCGUUCAGAAACGCAGCUGGGAAACCCGGCAACUGAUUGGCAACAGAGGGUGAUAUCCCUCACAUGGCUACUCUGAGGCCUGCCUAGUCCCGGCUCUGCAGGACCUUUAGGGAAGGUGAAUUGGUAGGGACAAAAAAGGCACAAACCACAAAGAAAUGACAGGAGAAGAGGCGGGCACCCCUGCAGAGUGAGCACUGCGGAGGGCCAGGCCCUGUCCUAGGCCCGCGGAUGAAUCCUCGCAGCAGCAGCAACAGCACCCUUUUCUAGGGGAGCCACAGCUCAGGGCAGCCACACCUCCAGGACUCCAGGCUGCCUGGCCUCACAGUCCUGUGACCACCCCCACUGCCUGUGCAAGUGACCUGCGAGUAGAUGAGGAGUCCCUCCGUGGUGGUGGCCGCCCAGCAGCGCCCUGGGAAAUUAAGCAGUGCUUUCCUAAAAAUUUAAGCUCAUUCCUCCCAACAUUUUUUUUCUUUUUUUUUUUUUUUAAAGAAACAGUAUUAAGUACAUUCCCCUGGGACAAAGUGCAAAAAUCAGGAGGAACCGGGACGUCUGCCUCUAGCCCCCACCCCACUACUCCCCUGGGAAGGAAUGAAUGGAUCAUCCCAGAAGUUACUCUCCCAGGGAUGCACAUAUAAGCAAAUAUGUACACGCAUGCGUCCUCCUCUCUUGACGCCGGGAGCCAGCCAAGUCUUCUGUCUAGCUCAGGCGUCUUCAGCUCCGCAGGCCCUGUGGUCUCUGCUGCACCUACUCAGUGCUGCACGGAUCACUAGAGACAGCCAGAAGGAUCCGCCAACAAAAAAACGCCCAGUAAAAUGUCCCAGUAAAACAUCAGUGACCAAAGCAGGUGGCCAGCCAGAUUUGGCCCUUGGGCCCGAGGGCACAGACCCCUGGCUCACAUGGGCCUCUCUGCCCCUGGCUCUGACACUCAGUCUAGGCUGGAGCACGCUUGCCAAUAGCCCUGCUCCUGGCUCCUCUGUGUGGGGACCAUGUGCACCGCCAGGCUCCACAGGCCUGUGGCACAGACCCUCCUCCCCACUGCGAGAGGAUGGGGGCAGUGCGCAGGAGACGGGCUCUCCGUGAUGGCAGAGCCGCCCCCAGGCAGCACGUCCAGGGCACUCGGGGAGCUGCUAGAGCAAGGGCAUACCAGGCCUGCCAUGUUUCAAAGCUCAGUGCAUCUGAGGUUGGCACCGUGACAGCCAUCCAUCCUCAGGGACAACAGCCAUCUUGUGGCCUGCAGGGUUUGCAGGGCCAUGUUCUUACCCAGGGGCACAGGGCACAGCCCAGAGCCUGCAGACAGCUCCAUGGUGGCCAGCCUUGCUAUGGCACAGAUGCCCCAGUGCCCACCGGCACCAAAAGCCCAUGGCUCAGUGCUCACCAGUGGGAGAGAAGCGGAGUGAGGUCACCCUGAUCUCAGGUUUGAAGUGCCGAGAACUCAUGUCACCUGGGGAAAAAAGAACCGUUAAUGAUCACUGGACAGCAUAUCCAGGCUGCUCUCCCCACGAAGCAAGUCAUCCUGCGGUCUCCCGGCUGGCUGGGGGGUGCUGUGGGAGCCCCAUCAAGAGCAGCAGCCUCUACUCAUUGGGUCCUGCACAAAGCGGAGGCAGAAGCAGCCCUUCCCUCGCCCCCAACCCUGUCUGUGGAAAAAUUGCCUUCCACGAAACCGGUCCCAAAUGCCAAAAGGGUUGGGGACCGUGGCUCCACACACAGCUGAGGCAGGUGCUGGCUUCACGGCCGGACUCUGCUGGGGCAGGUGAGGGGCCCGUGCACUUAGAUACAGGACAAGCACCACAACUGUGCCCAAGGCCCCAUGGAGCCAGGAGUGCAGAACGCAGGAGCCCGACGCAUUCCACCUGCAUUGGAAGCAACAUCCAUCCGGCCCCGCGCUGGCGGCUCACCUCCAUGGCGUCCAAAGACAG